ensembl:lncRNA
CUUUCUUGCAAAUAACCUGUUAGUUAUUCACAUUUGAACAGAUCUUUCUUCUCAUUUUAAGAUAUUGCAAACUCAGCCUUGUGCAACUUAAUACAUUUUUGAAGAAUUACUUCAUUAUGUUUAUUCUAAUAUAGUAUAAUUUCUCUGUGGAGUGCUACUUUUGCUUCAGAGAGUCAUAAGAAGCUCAACAAGUACUGAAGUUUCAUGUUUGCAGAUGUGAAAACAGAGGUACUCAUUAUAGCUAAUAGACAUUGACAGGAAAGUCAUUAAAAUAAUAUUUUGUAAUAAAAAGUAAGAGAAAUGAGAAAAUCAUUACUCUGAAGUACAUCUAUGUAGAAAACCUGGGUAUUUUGAUACCAGAGCAUUCUGAAAUAUUUAAGGCUCUCAAAUACAAGAAGAGAAGCACUUAGCAUAAAAUGAUUAAAAAAGCAUAAAAAAAAAUCCAAACAAUAUUGUUUGGAUAAGUAUCCAGAUUUUAUAUGAGUAUGAAAUCAAUAUAUCAAAAUUGCUGUCAAAGAAAAACUUGUAGAGAACUCUAUCUUAAGCUGGUAUUAAUAAUAACUUCUUGUGUUUUGUUUGUUUUUCCUUAUCUGGGUGCUUGUAGCUGCAGGAGGAUAUAAGAUAACCGUAACACACAAACCCAAAUUGUUCUGACAGUUAAUUCCAUAAUGGGCUGUUACUUGUUUAAGAUAGCUUCAUCUCUGAUUCUGAUGUUUCCGGUAAUAAACUUUCCUAAAUUAGUCAUCCUCAGAGUUAGGUAAGCAUUCCCUAAGGCAGAUAGGUCUUCAUAGACAGCUUUCAAGAUUAGAACAAAGGAUAGGAAUGAAUCACAGAAGAUCAAGGCUAGUCAACACAACCAAGUUUAUACUAAUGAGAGCUCUGCAAGUCAACCAUGUGAACAUAUGUGUAUUCACUUUAUGUGCAGGAUGAAGUCUGGUUUUGCUUAUUAACCUAAAGCUGUACAGAGAGAGAGAAAUCUGUCUAAAUGUGAAGAUUACUUGGUCACUUAUUUAGAGGAUUUAAAUUACAGCAUUGAAUUGUGCAUUGACCCCUCCUAAAAACCUUCUUUUUAUUUCACUUUUAGACCAUCCUGGCUACAAAGCAUAU